AUACGGAGGAUCCGAGCGUUAUCCGGAUUUAUUGGGUUUAAAGGGAGCGUAGAUGGGUUGUUAAGUCAGUUGUGAAAGUUUGCGGCUCAACCGUAAAAUUGCAAUUGAUACUGGCAGCCUUGAGUACAGUUGAGGUAGGCGGAAUUCGUGGCGUAGCGGUGAAAUGCUUAGAUAUCACGAAGAACUCCGAUUGCGAAGGCAGCCUACUAAACUGCCACUGACAUUGAUGCUCGAAAGUGUGGGUAUCAAACAGGAUUAGAUACCCUGGUAGUCCACACGGUAAACGAUGAAUACUCGCUGUUUGCGAUAUACAGCAAGCGGCCAAGCGAAAGCGUUAAGUAUUCCACCUGGGGAGUACGCCGGCAACGGUGAAACUCAAAUGAAUUGACGGGG
rnacentral:rRNA from 1 species